rnacentral:lncRNA from 1 species
AGAGUGGAAAAUAUGGUUGAUGUUUCUGGAAGUAAAUGGGGUAGAAGGUGAAAGAUUGGCUGGUCCUUGGAAAGGAAAUAGGUUUUUGCCAGGACCAUGUUUGAAGUCUUCACAGGAUAGGAGGAGUUGGCAGAGCUUGAAUUUCAGUGACAUAACCUUUGAGAACAAAGAGUAAUCUCCGUGCCAUGUUGAGGCAUCAAAGUAGACCUUUGUGGAGCAAAUAAUAGACGAUUUACUUGUGAAUAAAUUCUAUUUUCUCAUUCUUUGUUUACCA